rnacentral:misc_RNA from 1 species
GAUGAAGAACGUAGCGAAAUGCGAUAAGUAAUGUGAAUUGCAGAAUUCAGUGAAUCAUCGAAUCUUUGAACGCACAUUGCGCCCGCCAGUAUUCUGGCGGGCAUGCCUGUCUGAGCGUCAUUUCAACCCUCAUGCCCCUAGGGCGUGGUGUUGGGGAUCGGCCAAAGCCCGCGAGGGACGGCCGGCCCCUAAAUCUAGUGGCGGACCCGUCGUGGCCUCCUCUGCGAAGUAGUGAUAUUCCGCAUCGGAGAGCGAUGAGCCCCUGCCGUUAAACCCCCAACUUUCCAAGGUUGACCACAGAUCAGGUAGGAAUACCCGCUGAACUUAAGCAUAUCAAUAAGCGGAGGA